rnacentral:rRNA from 1 species
UACGGGGGGGGCAAGCGUUGUUCGGAAUUACUGGGCGUAAAGGGCGCGUAGGCGGCCUACUAAGUCGGACGUGAAAUCCCUCGGCUCAACCGGGGAACUGCGUCCGAUACUGGUGGGCUCGAAUCCGGGAGAGGGAUGUGGAAUUCCAGGUGUAGCAGUGAAAUGCGUAGAUAUCUGGAGGAACAUCAGUGGCGAAGGCGACACCCUGGACUCAUACUGACACUGAGGUGCGAAAGCGUGGGGAGCAAACAGG